rnacentral:rRNA from 1 species
AUACGGAGGGGGCUAGCGUUGUUCGGAAUUACUGGGCGUAAAGCGCGCGUAGGCGGAUUAGUCAGUUGGGGGUGAAAGCCCGGAGCUCAACUCCGGAAUUGCCUUCAAUACUGCUAGUCUUGAGUUCGUGAGAGGGUGGUGGAAUUCCUAGUGUAGAGGUGAAAUUCGUAGAUAUUAGGAAGAACACCAGUGGCGAAGGCGGCCACCUGGCUCGAUACUGACGCUGAGGUGCGAAAGCGUGGGGAGCAAACAGGAUUAGAAACCCCAGUAGUCC